UACGAAGGGGGCUAGCGUUGCUCGGAAUUACUGGGCGUAAAGCGCACGUAGGCGGCUUGUUAAGUCAGGGGUGAAAUCCUGGAGCUCAACUCCAGAACUGCCUUUGAUACUGGCGAGCUUGAGUUCGGGAGAGGUGAGUGGAACUGCGAGUGUAGAGGUGAAAUUCGUAGAUAUUCGCAAGAACACCAGUGGCGAAGGCGGCUCACUGGCCCGAUACUGACGCUGAGGUGCGAAAGCGUGGGGAGCGACAGG
rnacentral:rRNA from 1 species